rnacentral:misc_RNA from 1 species
UUAGCGAGUGUUUGGGUGACUGUUUUGGCAGCGCCCGAUCUUAAAAACUAUUAUUUUUUAAUCUGAAACCAAGAAAUUUAAAACUUUCAACAACGGAUCUCUUGGUUCUCGCAUCGAUGAAGAACGCAGCAAAGCGCGAUAGGUAAUGCGAAUUGCAGACGUGAGUCAUUGAAUCUUUGAACGCACAUUGCGCUACUAGGUUCUCCUAGUAGCAUGCUUGUUGGAGCGCCGAUCUUCCUCCCAACCUAUCUAGGUAUGGGGUACUGCUCCUUUUAGGAGUUAAAAUCAUGGAAGUGCACACGUUAGUUAACUCUGUGCAGUUAAUAUAAUUUUUGGCCCCCA